UAUCUGUCUCGCUUCUACACAUGUGUGCAUUACCGCUGUCAUCCAGUUGAAAACUUUGUUGUGAUUCGUAUUAGUAUUGAUAUUUUUGUUAUCUAAGGAACCUUUGAUUUGCGAUUUAGAUCAUCAAAUAGUAUAGAUUUAUCAUUUCAUGAGCAACAUAAUACCGCCAGUACCUCAGUGUUGUGAUCUAACGAGUAUUUAAUAAUUGAAAUAAACUAUAUUUACGUUAUUGUGUUAUACUUGCUGUUUGAGCAAUACGCUUGCUGUAAAUUUGAAUUCGGUAAACAAGUGACUUCAAGAUAUUUUAUUGUCCAUGCCCAAUCCCACCCAACUUGCCCCACCAGGGAUUUGCGAGUCUACGCCAGGGAACUGCGUUCAGUCCGAGAGUCCGGCAGUGAUCCAAAAUACCAAAUAGGUACACGCGGAAAUAUUCGUGACUGAAUAUGGAAUGUAACUUUUGGCGGCAUCUGAUAUCUGUAUGUCGCUGCUCUUCGUUGCUGCUUCGCUCCACGAUGGAUGUGGAUACGGGUGUCCUUGCUUGCUGGGUAGAUUGGUAUGAGUUCCACAAACUGCAAUGCGUUCAUACCAAUUUCCCACGCCAAUUGCUGACUUACGCUGUACCAGUCUGAGCAAUCUGCAGCACUCCAGAAGCACUCCUGGCAGUCCCCGUACCGCACAGGUGGUGCGUAGCAUAACGCCGAAUCGGUGGCUGCUGCCAGCAGGUGAGAACGAUUCAUGUGAACGACACGAUCACUCUACUGACGGUGAUAGAGACUACUUCCGGAGAUAGCUUUAAACUUGAACAACAGAACCAAACCAUAACCCUUACUUUGCACUAUGGCAUUUCAGCAGACAGUGUCCAUGUGGAUGGCGGAUGUGUAACGCCACAGCCAUCAGGCAGUGUUUAUCCCGAGCGUUAAUGCUGUCGAACGAUAUGGCCGUUAUGCCCGUGUUGACAAUACACAAGAUUAAGUGAUAGGAAAACCACACGCCGCGUAGGGCGUACCGGUCAUUGGACAUUGAAAUUGUUGUUGUGAAUCCUAUUCCUCUUAGUACAAGUGAAUGAAUAUACGUCGCUGAAGUAUUUUUCCGAGUGCAUUCACAGCACCAAAGCUAAUAUUUUCGAAAGGUUAUGUAGGCUUGGGGAGCAAUAUCAUUUGUUGUCGGUUUUAAUACAGUGCAAAUGACCGCUCGAAAGACGAGUUUACCAGGUAUUCCUGUUUCGAUACUAUCGUCGUAGCAUGUUGAAUUAUUUUCAAUGUUCUGGGGCUUUUUAAGUUGCCAUCUCAGCAGGCAGCUCAGUGCCAACCGUUACAGGCAUCAUAUAAUUGCUCGCCGUCGAGAGCUUUCUCCACCUUUGCCCUCACCUAUUUUGAUGAAUUGGAAACAUGAAACUGUUAGCACAUGCUAACUUUAAUGACAUUCUCGAUCACGCGGUUUUCAUUAAAAUGAUGUUCCGCUGCCUCCUUUUACCCAGGUAAUGGCGCACAGGGAUUUCUGGUGCGCACGUUAUAGCAUGUGCGUUGAAGUAUUUCACUACAAGCAUCGGCAAGCACCUCAAAUAUCGUUCUCAGCUGUAUCUCUCUCCCUCUCUCGGAUAUCAAUGCUGCGAAUUCCAAUAUGGAACGAGUCCAAGUUACAAAGGGUCGUUUUCCACCUGCUGCUAACGCAUCGGUCGCGCUGUCGACUGUCAUGUGAAUUAUGCCGUGAUCGAUACGACUGGGGCUGUUGCGCACGCACCUGAUUUUCGUCGAGCCCUUGCAUCUCAAACUUUGUCAUCCCGUGGUCGGACCUCGGGGAUAGGAGCACAGGGCAUUAGUGUGAAAAAGUACAUGAAAUUAAAUUGUAACUAUGUAUACGAAUUAUGUAGUUGAA